rnacentral:rRNA from 1 species
AGCCAUGCAUGUGCCAGUAUAAGUAUUAUAUAGCGAAACUGCGAAUGGCUCAUUACAUCAGUCAUAAUUUAUUUGAUAUUUGAAAGUUACAUGGAUAACCGUGGCAAUUCUACAGCUAAUACAUGCGUUCAUACCCAACUUUACGGAAGGGUAGUAUUUAUUAGAUAUUAAACCAAUCCUUCGGGUUGUGAUGAUUCAUAAUAACUGAUCGAAGCGAGGAUUUCCUUGCUAAAUCAUUCAAGUUUCUGCCCUAUCAGCUUUAGAUGGUAGUGUAUUGGACUACCAUGGCUAUCACGGGUAACGGAGAAUUAGGGUUCGAUUCCGGAGAGGGAGCCUGAGAAAUGGCUACCACAUCUAAGGAUGGCAGCAGGCGCGAGAAUUGCCCAAUCCCGAUUCGGGGAGGCAGUGACAAGAAAUAACAACCCAGGGGUUUCCCCAGGGAUUGUAAUGAGAAAAAUCUAAAAAACUUAUCGAGCAUCAACUGGAGGGCAAGCUAUGGUGCCAGCAGCCGCGGUAAUUCCAUCUCCAGUAGCGUAUAUUAAAGUUGCUGCAGUUAAAAAGCUCGUAGUUGAAAUUCUGUCCGGUUGAGCGAUUUCCUAAUGGUCUUCGCCUCACCGGGCAUCAGUCUGCAAUCAUUUUCACGACAUUCACUUGUCGGGACUGGGAGCAGGCGUUUUACCUUGAGAGAAUUAGAGUGUUCCAGGCAGGCUUCAGCCCGAAUACAUUAGCAUGGAAUAAUAGAAUAGGACUAGAGACUAUUUAUUGGUUUAAGGCUUUAGUAAUGAUUAAUAGGAACAGUCGGGGGCAUUAGUACUUGACAGUCAGAGGUGAAAUUCUAGGAUUUGUCAAAGACUAACUAAUGCGAAAGCAUUUGCCAAGCAUGUUU